rnacentral:rRNA from 1 species
GACGUAGGGCGCGAGCGUUGUCCGGAUUUAUUGGGCGUAAAGAGCUCGUAGGCGGCUUGUCGCGUCGUCCGUGAAAACUUGGGGCUCAACCCCAAGCUUGCGGUCGAUACGGGCAGGCUCGAGUUCGGUAGGGGAGACUGGAAUUCCUGGUGUAGCGGUGAAAUGCGCAGAUAUCAGGAGGAACACCGGUGGCGAAGGCGGCAUUCUGGACCGACAUUGACGCUGAGGAGCGAAAGCCAGGGGAGCAAACGGG